UACGAGGGGGGCGAGCGUUGUUCGGAAUUAUUGGGCGUAAAGGGCGCGUAGGCGGUCGGAUAAGUCUUGUGUGAAAUCUUCGGGCUCAACUCGAAGUCUGCACAGGAAACUAUCUGGCUUGAGUGUGGGAGAGGUGAGUGGAAUUCCUGGUGUAGCGGUGAAAUGCGUAGAUAUCGGGAAGAACACCCGUGGCGAAGGCGGCACUCUGGGACGGUACUGACGCUGAGACGCGAAAGCGUGGGGAGCGAACAGG
rnacentral:rRNA from 1 species